UACGAAGGGGGCUAGCGUUGCUCGGAAUCACUGGGCGUAAAGCGCACGUAGGCGGCUUUCUAAGUCAGGGGUGAAAUCCUGGAGCUCAACUCCAGAACUGCCUUUGAUACUGGGAAGCUUGAGUCCGGAAGAGGUGAGUGGAACUGCGAGUGUAGAGGUGAAAUUCGUAGAUAUUCGCAAGAACACCAGUGGCGAAGGCGGCUCACUGGCCCGGUACUGACGCUGAGGUGCGAAAGCGUGGGGAGCAAACAGG
rnacentral:rRNA from 1 species